rnacentral:rRNA from 1 species
CAGCCGCCGCGGUAAUACGAAGGGGGCUAGCAUUGUUCGGAUUUACUGGGCGUAAAGGGUGCGUAGGCGGAUUGUUAAGUCAGGGGUGAAAUCCCGAGGCUCAACCUCGGAACUGCCUUUGAUACUGGCGAUCUUGAGUCCGGGAGAGGUGAGUGGAACUGCGAGUGUAGAGGUGAAAUUCGUAGAUAUUCGCAAGAACACCGGUGGCGAAGGAGGCUCACUGGCUCAUUCUAGACGCUGAGGUGCGAAAGCGUGGGGAGCAAGCAGGAUUAGAUACCCCAGUAGUCCCUGUCUCUUAUAC